rnacentral:rRNA from 1 species
GAUCAUGGCUCAGGACGAACGCUGGCGGCGUGCCUAACACAUGCAAGUCGAGCGAGGAGAUUCCUCGGGAUGAUCCUAGCGGCGGACGGGUGAGUAACACGUGGGCAACCUGCCUCAUAGAGAGGAAUAGCCUUCCGAAAGGGAGAUUAAUACCUCAUAACAUUGCAGUUUCGCAUGAAACAGCAAUUAAAGGAGCAAUCCGCUAUGAGAUGGGCCCGCGGCGCAUUAGCUAGUUGGUGAGGUAACGGCUCACCAAGGCGACGAUGCGUAGCCGACCUGAGAGGGUGAUCGGCCACAUUGGGACUGAGACACGGCCCAGACUCCUACGGGAGGCAGCAGUGGGGAAUAUUGCACAAUGGGGGAAACCCUGAUGCAGCCAACGCCGCGUGAGUGAUGACGGCCUUCGGGUUGUAAAGCUCUGUCUUCAGGGACGAUAAUGACGGUACCUGAGGAGGAAGCCACGGCUAACUACGUGCCAGCAGCAGC